GUAAAAAGUGAUACUGUGAUAUAUGUAUACAAUGUAGCAUGAUUGAAUCAAGCUAAUUAACAUAUCCAUUAUUUCAAAUACUUAGCAUUUCCACUGUGCCUACACUGCAGAUUGGUUGAAUGUACACGUACCACCCAUUUUUAUUCUUUUUUGUUCAACAUUUACAGGCCUGCUUCCACCGAGGGACUGAAGGCUCCUUGAGCAAAAUUAUCUACCUGUUCACCUUUGGAUCUUUCACAGUUCCCAGGUGUCUUACUGGAAGGCUGUGGGCCGAUGCCAGGUGACAUGAUAGACAAUUACUGGACUAAUUUGCAAAGCGAAUUUCUGAAGUCACAUUUUUUGCUUCACAUGGAUUCCAUCUUCACAGAGAAGGUAGCAUUUGAUUGACAUUUUGUUUCUUGUUUACAGUUUGUUUCUGGCAUCAGUUAACUGCAAAAUUACUCAACCUCUCAGGAGUUUUUCUGAUGCGAAAUUAACCAAUUGCGCAAAAUUUUGUCUAAGUCACUUUCCAACAUGAAUGCUUUAGGAAUGCUUGAAAUUUUAAUAAGAUAGGCACAUGAAACCACCACAAAUUCCAACCAGCAUAUCAGAUGUUAUUAAAAUGAAUUGUUAAGAACAACUAAUCUCAGGAAAUGUGUUGAUGUAGUUAUCUCACUUAAUAGAAAUAUGCGAAGUCUCAUAUUAUAAAAAGAGUAUUUAACUCUGUCAGAAGAGUUAUCAUAAGGUAAGUUGUUUUAAAUAAAGGAUUUAGAUCACUUAAGGAGUUAUAUAAAAAGUUUUAUAUUUCACAUUGGUCUAUUGAGGAAAAGAUAUAUAUAACAUACUUGGUUUUCAACCAAGUUAAUUCAGCUGCCACUUUAACAUAGUUGUAAUACAUCAGUGGUUAAAAUAAGAUUCCUACCACCGUGUUUUCAUGGUCCAUGUCACAGGCUUUUUUGAAAAAAUGGUACAGUUAUUUUAUUGACACUUUCCAGAGAGGGUCAAAGCACAUCUGAGAGACCUUUGGAUUAUCAAAUGUGUGUGUGUAUUUAAUUUAUGCGAAGUGUGCCCUGAUUCUGGCUCCCAAGAGCUCAGAUGUUUGUGAGACUUUAGAGACUAUUUACAGAGGGGCAUUUUUUUCUCAAUAAUUUUGUCAUUGAAAUGUGGCACAAAUCUUUCAAAAUGGUAAUUCUCCCUAGCAAGUUAAUCCUUCAAGAGGUUUUUUUUUUAUGUCUCAGAGAAAGCUGUGUGUAAUCAAAAGACUCUACAAAAUACGUGUUGGUUUUAGUCACUCUCUAUAAUUCCAUUUAACUAUUGCCAACUCCAAAUACAGCCACAAUUUUCCUGUAUCUUGUGCACAUCAGAUAAAGAAUGCAGAAACAAUUGGCAGUUGGCAGUUAAGCAGCCAAAAGAGGAAGGAAAAAAGCUUUGCUAGUGUUUUCCAAUUAAUUUCUUUUCAAGUGAAAGUUCGAAAAGAAAAAAAAUAAAUAAGAAAACUGGAAAUGACCUAAAAACGCUGGUGUGAUAAGAUAAACUUUGGCCUGACCAUCACCUUGUUUGACUGAAUACAUAGUCUAGGUAUGAGAAACAAGACCAGGAAAACAUGGAAUGUAGUUUCAACAAUUUAUAAAAUUACACUGAAACUUUAAGAAAUAUAAAGGAUUCAAUUUUGAAGAAAUUAAGUCUCUUGGAAAAUUAGUGAGGGAAGAAAGCAAACAAAAAUAAAUAUUUCAUUAAUAACUUUGACCACA
rnacentral:lncRNA from 1 species